GACCCGAUGGUAAUGAGAUCCUAUGCUAAUGAGACGAUAUGCUAAUGUGGCGCUCUGUUAAAGGGGCGAUGCAGAUAGGCGCGCGCUGGUGUCGAAGAAGCAAGGUGCUAAUACGCGGCACGCGAUUGGCAGGCGGGCGGGGGUUUAUGCUAAUGAGCGAUUUGCUAAUGACCCGCGUGCGGACGAAGAGCCCCUCAACGAGUCGUCAAUGAAGACGAGGAGCCGAGGCGGGCUGUGGUCAUGCUUGCUGCGCUAAUGAGAUGUAUGUUAAUGAGACAUGCUAAUGAGGUGCAUGCUAAUGAGGCCUCCGCCCGAGCGGCUUGUCCUGCCACAGGGCAGCCCGGGGCCGGGGCCGGUGCUCGCCCCUGCGCGGGGUGAGCCGCCCGGGGCUGGGAGCGGGGUGCCUCGGCUCCGUCCUGCCUGGCGGGACCCCAGCCCCAGGUCCCCUCCACACCGCUCCCUCCCAGCCCUGGCUCGCGGCUGAGUGAUGCCGCCGGCCCCUGCCCCUGCCCCAGCCCCAGGCUCGGAGCCUGCUGCCCUCGGAGCCACCCUUGGGAUGCUGCCACGUGCAGCACCGGGGCCUGGGCAGGAAGGGGGACAGAGCCGUGCUGGUGUGGCUGGGCUCCGAGACGGCUUUUCCUUCCCCCCGGAGCCAGCGUGGCCUGCAGGACAGCAUCCCCACCUGCCCUGGCACGAGGAGCUGGCCUGGCACGAGGCACUGGAGCACCGGUUGCGAGAUGAAAACAUGGCCUGGAAAAACAGAUCCCAGCACCUCCAGCUGCAAAAGUGACUUCACUUGCAGACCAGGGAAGGAAGAAUCGCAAGUGUAGGCCGGAUCAGACUG